rnacentral:piRNA from 1 species
UUUGAAAUUCAAUUCAUUGGCACUCACAC